UGGGCUCCCUUUUUUUCCCAGCCUAUACAUCU
rnacentral:piRNA from 1 species